UAACAUGAGCAAAUUCCAGACAGCUUCUCGAAGGCCAAGUUUACUUACUCCUUUCUGAUUUCAUCACCUCCAUCAGACUGGGGGACAGAAAGCACUGAAGGCCAAUUUACUGAAGAAAAUUGAACACUUUGUUUGCUAUUACCCAAGGACUUGGGGAAAAAGUAUUUGUUGAUUUUCAGUGUCCAGAUGAACUGAGUCACAUAGAUUUUUCUCAGUCAGUAGCCAAACAGUUAUUCAGAUGACAACUUCCAAAGUAUGGAGUGCUCCAACCAGGGAGACUAUUUUUCAUUGCUUUUUGAGCUUAGGAAGAAUGUAGACAUCCAUUGUAAACCUUAUGUUUCCAAAAUCCCAAAUGUAGGAAAAAUAUGCAGACAUACAGAUAUAUAGGCUAAUUCUAAGUAACAAUAUGAAUAUAUUUAAAGUUUUUAAAACUUUGUAUUUUUUGUAAAAAUAUUUUUCUUUUACAAUUAUUUUCCUUUUUUAAAAUCAUUUUACCAAUAUAAUAUAUGGAGCCAAAGAAAACAAUAAUAGUAUUAAUAAAACCCCCUAAGAUUCCUUGUC
rnacentral:lncRNA from 1 species